rnacentral:lncRNA from 1 species
GUUCAAUCGCCAUGGAGUCAAAGUCUAUUACAGUCUUUCGGUAUGCGAUUGACUCCAUGGGAAGGCUAUCUGGGUUAAGUCCAUUCGUGCGUUUAAAACUCCUGAACGGCCAGUGUUCGUAUACUUCUGUCGAUUGAGAAGGGAGGUCGGCGGCUUUGGCUGUGUUCGGUGGAAAAAGUGUCCGUUUUCAGUUCCAUGAAAUCAAUGCCGAACACCGCUGGUCUUUCGCAUGGUUUAAAAUGUCCGCCGCCUCGUGGUCGACAUACGAACGACGACCACCCUGUAUUCGGUUUUAAUUAAGAAGUGUCUGCGGUUAACCACAACGUUCUAAUUGGGAUCAAGAGGUUAACCAGCAGCACACUUCUCUUCUGGGUGGCUG